rnacentral:rRNA from 1 species
GAUGAACGCUGGCGGCGUGCUUAAUACAUGCAAGUCGAACGGAGAGCUAGCAAUAGUUCUUAGUGGCGAACGGGUGAGUAACGCGUUGGUGACCUGCCCCAAAGCGGGGGAUAACAGUUCGAAAGGACUGCUAAUACCCCAUGAGAUCCAAGAGAUUAGAGGCUUAUGGAUGAAAGGAGCAAUCCGUUUUGGGAGGGGCCUGCGUCCCAUCAGCUAGUUGGUAGGGUAAAAGCCUACCAAGGCGACGACGGGUAGGGGGCCUGAGAGGGUGACCCCCCACACUGGCACUGAAACACGGGCCAGACACCUACGGGAGGCUG